rnacentral:rRNA from 1 species
AUUGAACGCUGGCGGAAUGCUUUACACAUGCAAGUCGAACGGCAGCACGGGGGCAACCCUGGUGGCGAGUGGCGAACGGGUGAGUAAUACAUCGGAACGUGCCCGGUCGUGGGGGAUAACGUAGCGAAAGUUACGCUAAUACCGCAUACGAUCUGAGGAUGAAAGCGGGGGACCUUCGGGCCUCGCGCGAUCGGAGCGGCCGAUGUCAGAUUAGGUAGUUGGUGGGGUAAAGGCCUACCAAGCCGACGAUCUGUAGCUGGUCUGAGAGGACGACCAGCCACACUGGGACUGAGACACGGCCCAGACUCCUACGGGAGGCAGCAGUGGGGAAUUUUGGACAAUGGGCGCAAGCCUGAUCCAGCCAUUCCGCGCGCAGGACGAAGGCCUUCGGGUUGUAAACUGCUUUUGUAUGGAACGAAAAGGCUCUGGCUAAUACCUGGGGCUCAUGACGGUACCGUAAGAAUAAGCACCGGCUAACUACGUG